UGGCUGAAAAUGAAUUUUCUGACCAGUGUCAUUCUGCCUGAAGACAUCACAGAAAACAGGAAGCAAUGGAAACAAACAGCACCCGGGACACUCCUGAGUAUCUUAGCAAAAGCAGAGCUGUCUAAUGCCUCCUUCAUCCAGCUUGAAGAAGAAAUAGAAGGGAAAUUAAUCCUGUCACCAAAAGAAAGCAAGGAAAAUGACUCAGAAUCAUGCUCCAGUGUUGCUGUUGAUGAUGGCAGACUUGAGCCAAGAUCAGAUGAUGAGGACACGAAUUUUGAAGAUUCUGAAGACGAACUGAGAGGUGAUCUGGAAGAAUCUCUGGAAAAAGUGGUAACUGCUCCAACAGAGAGAACCAUAGAGUCUUCCAUGCUUUCAAUAAAUAGAGGUCAAACACAUCAAGAAAAGAUGAGCUUACCUAGCAAACUGUUUGGAAAACCUAAUGAUGAUUUAGAAAAUAACUGAGUCACUUAGUAUUGACACAAAUAAUUAAAAAGUCAAGCAAGAAGCAACAGCUACGUAGAGUACCAGCAUGGUUACUGUUUCAGACCAUUAAUAUCCUUGAAAUUUUAACGGCAGCAGUGACAAAAUUAGAAAAAAACAGGUAGCUGACAUCAAAUGCCAAGUAAACCAACUACUUUUCAACACUUACUUAAAAAACAAUUAAAAUUGAAAGGGUUUUUGCCAUUUUUUUAGAAGGAAAAAAAUAAUCAGGCUAAUUUUAGAUGUCUACUAUUUGAAAAACUGUGAUCCAGAUUAAAAUGCA
rnacentral:lncRNA from 1 species